rnacentral:rRNA from 1 species
UACGAAGGGGACUAGCGUUGUUCGGAAUCACUGGGCGUAAAGCGCACGUAGGCGGAUUUGUAAGUCAGGGGUGAAAUCCCGGGGCUCAACCUCGGAACUGCCUUCGAUACUGGCGAUCUUGAGUCCGGAAGAGGUGAGUGGAACUCCUAGUGUAGAGGUGGAAUUCGUAGAUAUUCGCAAGAACACCAGUGGCGAAGGCGGCUCACUGGCCCGAUACUGACGCUGAGGUGCGAAAGCGUGGGAGCA